UUAAGUUAUUAAGGGCGCACGGUGGAUGCCUUGGCACUAGAAGCCGAUGAAGGACGUUACUAACGACGAUAUGCUUUGGGGAGCUGUAAGUAAGCUUUGAUCCAGAGAUUUCCGAAUGGGGAAACCCAGCAUGAGUUAUGUCAUGUUAUCGAUAUGUGAAUACAUAGCAUAUCAGAAGGCACACCCGGAGAACUGAAACAUCUUAGUACCCGGAGGAAGAGAAAGAAAAUUCGAUUCCCUUAGUAGCGGCGAGCGAAACGGGAAGAGCCCAAACCAACAAGCUUGCUUGUUGGGGUUGUAGGACACUCUAUACGGAGUUACAAAGGACGACAUUAGACGAAUCAUCUGGAAAGAUGAAUCAAAGAAGGUAAUAAUCCUGUAGUCGAAAAUGUUGUCUCUCUUGAGUGGAUCCUGAGUACGACGGAGCACGUGAAAUUCCGUCGGAAUCUGGGAGGACCAUCUCCUAAGGCUAAAUACUCUCUAGUGACCGAUAGUGAACCAGUACCGUGAGGGAAAGGUGAAAAGCACCCCGGAAGGGGAGUGAAAUAGAACCUGAAACCGUGUGCUUACAAGUAGUCAGAGCCCGUUAAUGGGUGAUGGCGUGCCUUUUGUAGAAUGAACCGGCGAGUUACGAUUUGAUGCAAGGUUAAGCAGUAAAUGUGGAGCCGUAGCGAAAGCGAGUCUGAAUAGGGCGUUUAGUAUUUGGUCGUAGACCCGAAACCAGGUGAUCUACCCUUGGUCAGGUUGAAGUUCAGGUAACACUGAAUGGAGGACCGAACCGACUUACGUUGAAAAGUGAGCGGAUGAACUGAGGGUAGCGGAGAAAUUCCAAUCGAACCUGGAGAUAGCUGGUUCUCUCCGAAAUAGCUUUAGGGCUAGCCUCAAGUGAUGAUUAUUGGAGGUAGAGCACUGUUUGGACGAGGGGCCCCUCUCGGGUUACCGAAUUCAGACAAACUCCGAAUGCCAAUUAAUUUAACUUGGGAGUCAGAACAUGGGUGAUAAGGUCCGUGUUCGAAAGGGAAACAGCCCAGACCACCAGCUAAGGUCCCAAAAUAUAUGUUAAGUGGAAAAGGAUGUGGCGUUGCCCAGACAACUAGGAUGUUGGCUUAGAAGCAGCCAUCAUUUAAAGAGUGCGUAAUAGCUCACUAGUCGAGUGACACUGCGCCGAAAAUGUACCGGGGCUAAACAUAUUACCGAAGCUGUGGAUUGUCCUUUGGACAAUGGUAGGAGAGCGUUCUAAGGGCGUUGAAGCAUGAUCGUAAGGACAUGUGGAGCGCUUAGAAGUGAGAAUGCCGGUGUGAGUAGCGAAAGACGGGUGAGAAUCCCGUCCACCGAUUGACUAAGGUUUCCAGAGGAAGGCUCGUCCGCUCUGGGUUAGUCGGGUCCUAAGCUGAGGCCGACAGGCGUAGGCGAUGGAUAACAGGUUGAUAUUCCUGUACCACCUAUAAUCGUUUUAAUCGAUGGGGGGACGCAGUAGGAUAGGCGAAGCGUGCGAUUGGAUUGCACGUCUAAGCAGUAAGGCUGAGUAUUAGGCAAAUCCGGUACUCGUUAAGGCUGAGCUGUGAUGGGGAGAAGACAUUGAGUCUUCG
rnacentral:rRNA from 1 species